rnacentral:rRNA from 1 species
UACCAGCUCUCCGAGUGGUAGGGAUGAUUAUUGGGCUUAAAGCGUCCGUAGCCGGCUUAGCAAGUCUCCUGUUAAACUCAGCGACCUAAUCGUUGAAUCGCGGGAGAUACUACUAGGCUAGGAGGCGGGAGAGGUCGACGGUACUUCUGGGGUAGGGGUGAAAUCCUAUAAUCCCGGGAGGACCACCAGUGGCGAAGGCUGUCGACUAGAACGCGCUCGACGGUGAGGGACGAAAGCUGGGGUAGCGAACCGGAUUAGAUACCCGGGUAGUCCCAGCUGUAAACGAUGCGUGCUAGGUGUUGGGAUGGCUACGGGCCAUUUCAGUGCCGCAGGGAAGCCAUUAAGCCCGCCGCCUGGGGAGUACGGCCGCAAGGCUGAAACUUAAAGAAAUUGGCGGGGGAGCACCACAAGGCGUGAAGCUUGCGGUUC